GGACUUUCCAGGAUGUGCCUUAUUUUCCAGUAGAGUUUAGAUGGCACCAGCUCCCAGAGUCCAGCUCUCUGAGUUUGGGGAGAACGCUGGGGACGAUCUUUGUAGUAUCAGCAAAGACACUGCAAUGGUAUUUACUUUAGUUACAAGACCAAGGUUGGUGUAAGUUUUGCUCUCGGUCACUUGUUGGGUUCUGUCCUGAGGAUUCAAGGGGUUAGGUUCUGAACUGUACAGAGCAAGGAAUUUCUGUAACAACGAUGGCAGAGGUUCCAAUCUGACACAUGGCUUGUCAAAGCCCUGGAACUCUGGGAAGUCAGUCAACCUCACCCAACCUCGGACUGUAAACUGCUGUGGCACUCCCUCAGAGGCUGGAGGAAGAACUAAGGUGGAGAGCACACGUCGUACCUGACGUACGUGCUCGGCAAUAUGGCACCACUGUUCUUCCGCCUGUGGCAGAUGACUAGUGUGGUUGUUUCUUUUCUCUCUUCCCAGUUUCCAGAAAAAUCUGAAGCCUUUAGGUCUAAGGCACUUGUGGGCAAGUCUUCCAGCAGCCAAAGGCAUAAGCUGGCAGGGUGAUGCACGCUGGUAUCCUUAGUGCUACAGAGAGGCAGGCUGUCCUCAGCCACAUAGCAAGUUCCAGGCCGGUCUGGACUGAGAGACACUAUCUCCAAUAUCAAAAACAGACCAGGGAAGAACAGUCAUGCCCCUUCUCUUUCUCCCCUGCACUAAGACUGGGUCCACGAUCCCGUGUCCAUCACAUCUACGCUGGCCGGCUUCCCUGGACUCUCCAUCCAUCCUAUCUCUAGUGUUACCUGCUCUAACACGUUCCCAGAAUGACGUACUUCUCAUACGUGCUCGGCCAAGGGGAGGGGCUGUCUGAUCCCAAGAUGGCAGGAGAGGUCUCUCUAGGCUGUUGUGUGCACAUCACAGCUGCCUGUUUGGCCUACAGACUAAUAAUAGCAGCUCCGAUGGCCGUGGAUUAAGACAGAACUGUACUUCGUGUUUAUUUUUAACACUCCGGCGUCAGUAUCAAGUUCUACUGGUUACUGGCCAAAUGUAGGGCAGCUUCCUACUCUGGGAGUGGCCUCAGGCUAGUUCAGGUUGCUAAGUUGAGUUCUGGAGGAAGCUGGCUUUGUGGAAAACAGUUUGGCUUUAGCAGACAGGUAAGUGGAAGAGGCAGAGGCAGAUGUCCCGAACAGGCGUCUAGUCCCAAGACUGUGGGAUCUCACGGACCUCAAACUGAUAGCUGCUGCCCCGAGCACUCCCCUCAGUCAGGAAGAGCUAAUGAGCUGUCUUGGUCAGGACUUACGCGCACGCGCACGCGCACACGCUGGCUGUAUAGAAGUGAUCGAAACAAAGUCAGGGAAGGUCCCCACUCAACGUCCCCAAGCUUGACCUUGUCACAAGUCACAGGCUAGUGCCGCGGCCGCGUGUGCUGACGAGAGGAAGAAAAGGAAUACUCGGGAGAAUAUUAUAGGGCACGGGGACAAAGAACAGGCUGAGACUGUCCGACUCUGAUUUGCAUGGUUUCCAGUAGGAACAUCAGAUUUCUUAGAAAUUUGUGCCAGCAGGGCUGCGUUCCGACAGCGCACCACUGGCUAGAGCCACCAAGAAGCCAGCUGUCUGGCCAGAAGCCAGCGCCCACGUCACCUCUUCCCCAAGGCCUAUAGCGGGGUCCCAGUAACCGUACAUAAGCCGACUACAGCCAAGAGGAGCCCCAAGGCUAUCUCCAUCACCUCCCUGCCCCACCAGGCUGACAGGAAGCAGACAGCUGGGCAGCUCGUGUAAAUAGCUCUAGACUUGCCUAACGAAGCAACUCAUCGCACAGCAGACGGAUGGAGAAUGAUAAAAAUGUGUCACGCGUCAGGACAGUGGCCGUACUCAAGACUGGCAGGAGAAUGGUUAAGAACCUGCUUAGCAAUGAAGGCAGUGACUGCACUAACAUGUGAGAAAGAAGACAGAGAUGGGAAAGCAGCAGCAGGACUCGCUGGCCUUAGUUUAAAAGGCCCCAGAAAGCAACACUGAUGGCUGAACAAAGGCAGCACUGUACCCUGAGCCCAGCACAAGCCUUCGCUCUCUGUCCUGCAACUCCUCAGCUGGCCCGGCCUCUACACAUCUAUUUCUCAUUGAUACGGAUGCACUUUUACUGCCACUGCCUUCUCUGAGAUUCCAAACAGACCUGCAAACCUCCCUUGCCUGCUCUAACGAUACCGACCUACCUGCCUUUGGAGAAGGGGCCCUAGGGACCAGCAAACUCAAUUCAGAAAGGGCCAGAGAGCAGAUAUUUUGGUCUCUAUGGGUAGUAUAGUUUUACAAUGCACUCUUGGGUUUUUCUUUGUAAAAUACAUUUUAUUGUUAAAUUGACCAUUUAUAGUCAUAGACUUAUGGGGUUCCGAGUGACGUCAUGGUUUAUGAAUACAAUGUGGAAUAAGUAGAUCAGAUAAAUUAAUAUCACCCCAAAUACUUAAUCCUUAUUUGUAGUAAGAAAAUUUGAAUUUUACUGUCAGAAAAUUUGAAAUGCACAACCCUCUAAAAACGUAAAAUCACCAUGCCUUUAAUACCAGUACUUGGAAGGCAGGGGCAGCAGCAAAUGGAUCUCUGUGAGUUAGAGGCCAUUCUGGUCUAUAGAGCAGGCCAGCCAGGACUACACAAAGAAACCCUGUCUUGAUAAAACCAACCAACCAACCAACCAAACAAACAAAAAAGUAAAAAUUACUCCCAGUAAAAGCAUAGCAAAACCACCAUGGCUUGGAGUAUAAUUUGCUGACCCCAUAUCUAGAUUGAGUAUGCAUGUAUGUAUGAACAUACAUAAGUAUAAACAUAUGUAAGUAUGCAUGUAUGUAUGGAUGUACGUACGUACGUAUUAUGUAUUAUGUAUUAUGUAUUAUGUAUGUAUGUAUGUAUGUAUGUAUGUAUGUAUGUAUGUUGUUUUAGAUCCUAAAGGCCUCUUUAUGUAAGGUGGGUAUCUAGGAAUUCUGCCUGUGCUGGGUGUGCCAAAAAACUUUCCUUCUUCUUCGAACAUGGCUGACAGCAGAUAUUACUGCUUUACCACUCUAGAGUGCAGAAGGAGCCUGGACCAUCUCUCUAAUUCUGCUUGGUAACCCACUCUGUGCUCCCACAGGGCCUUUCCCUCCACUCCCAGUUUUCAAGUCCUCGGGGACAUCCCUCCCUCUGACUUCCCUGGAUGCUAUGGGUCAGGACAGAAAGAGGGGUUGCAUACAGCAAAUAUGGACGAAAAAUCCAAGGGUAGGGUUCAGGUCUCUCUGAGCAGAGACAGGACUGCCUGAAUGUAAGAGCUAUCAUAAAUAGUUCCAGACACUGUAAAUAGGAACCAAACUGCUAUUGAAGCAGCCUAUGAGAGAUGUGGAACUGGUUAUGAAUCUUUGGAAUUUUAUAUCCCCAGGUACUGCAUACUGCAAAGAAAGAAAUGGCUGACAGCUCUAUAGUUAAUCCUCAUAGCGUUACUGGUGACUUACUAGAUAUGCGACCCACAGUGCUAGCUGUUGGUCAUAAACACAUUUCUAAUUGUCACAAUAACUAGCUAUGCAGAGUAGAUAUUCUAGCCCUAAUUUACAGCUGGGGAAACCCACACUGUCUGGGAUUAAGUUUAUUCACAACCAUAGAGCUGGGCUGGGAGCUCUGGACUGACUCACUCUGGCCAGUCCUCACCAUGCUAAUACACUGCUCAAAUUCUUGGAGGACAGGAACACUAAGUAAAUGCCUCGAGAUUUGUUUAGAUUUUGUUGUAAAAUGGCAGCAAUCUAUUGGUUUGCCCUUCGCAAUAAUAUGACUAUUAAUAAACGACAAGAUAUUAAAAAUCACCAGCAUGGCAGUCCUAUAGUAGUGACUGACCUCAAAUCAAUACAGUUAUAUUCUCAUUCAGCCUGGUGGCUUAUUUGAACUCAUAUUUCAGAAGACUAAAACAAAAUGUAAAUAUAUUCACCUUUGCCUCGUGGCUAAAGAAGUCUCUUCAAGAGCUUGGUGUCGCCUCUCUAUUUUGUACAUACUUUGGGCUGAACUGAAUCAAUCUUCUACCUUCCCAAAGCCCAGACUGCUAGCUGCCAAUCAAAUAUUCGUCCUUACUCUUUCUCGGGCUGAGUACGAGUUGUCCAGGUUAAAUUCUGCGCUCCCACUUCCCUUGCAGCCCUGAGCAUGCUUGCGGAGGAAGUAUGCAGCCUGGGGCAGUCUCUGCGUAAUGGAUAGUGCAUCCUUCCUCUCUUCCCUGUGCUUCCAGGGCAGGUGUGAUGAGUACAGCGACCAUCUAGGGCCAUAAAGAUGGCCCGGGGGAAGCAGCACAGAACCCUGCUGGGGAUGGUGAGUGGCUAUGGAAUGCCUCCCAGGCCAGGACUGGAGUUUUGCAGCUGCUGUGUAGAAGUAAACUCUUCCUUUUGCCAAAGUCGCCCAGUUUGGGUUUCUGUUACUAAUACAUAUUCUACUUUAGAUGUCCAGCUACAUCUCAAGACUCAAGUCUUUAUGAUCCUGUCCACCAGCUCUCCAUUUUUAUUGCCAUGAAGAGCAACCUAUAAUUAUCGCUUGUCUGAAUCUUUACAAUGUCUGACCCGAAACCUUGAAUCAUCCUUUUAAAAUGACGUCUAUCACAUUAUUCUCUUGCUUAAAAACUUUUAACAGAAUAACUGACUGGAUACUUCAAAAUGACUACCAGAGAGGACUUUAGCAAAUGUUUAAGGUGACGGGCAUGCCAAUUACUCUGACCUGACCAUUUUACAGUAUGUAAAUACAGAGAAGUACCAUACUGUGCUUUGUAAAUUGUACAAUUACGUACAUUUAGGUUUUUAUAAAACCCAAACUUCUCAAGGUAUACUUGGCCCUUCACAAUCUCUUCAGCCUCACCCUCUGCCCUGUGGUUUCUACCACCUCUGUGCUAUCUAGAACCUGCUCUGGAGUUGUCUAGAUAACACCUACACGUCCUUCAAAUUUUCCUAUAGCUUUUCGAAUCCUUGAUUAGCACAUGAUAGUUCUCAGAUGAAGGCAACCCUGGUGGUCCUCCUUACAAGAGAAAUAAAACCAUGAGCAUAUUAAGGGCUAUAACCCAUCUUAACGAUGCUCUACACUGUUUUCCUUCCUCUUUGGCUGCAUGCAUCUCCAUCUCUGUAGCCACCUAACCUAGCCUAAAGCCUGACACAAGGUAUGCUUAGAAUUCGUCCUGACCUUGUACAUGUCAGGCUAGAUCUCUCUCUCUAAACUGGAAGAUGUCUUUCUCUGGACUGGACUGCAGCUAUCACAAAUACAGUCUGACUCCGGUUCUCCUUGCUGGGGUGUGGGAAUGCUGGAGCGGAAAGACCAGCUGACUUCUGGGAUGUGCGGAAGUAUCCCAGGGACCACUUCCACGGCCGGGCCUGGAGCUGCAGUGUGAGACCCAGAACGGCCUCCAGCUUCCACGUCCCUUCCUCCUUCCGCCCUCUCCCUCCCUUUAACCUCCCAGUCUUCAAUUCUGCCGUUAGCUGUUCAUGCAGGCUGCUGAGUAGUGAGGAAGGAAUGCAGGCUGCGUGUCAGAAAGUCCAGCACUGGUCGAGGAACAUUUUGUUUUCUUUUUCCUUAAAAGGGCAGCGAGGGGAAGAGGGCAGUCUACAAAGUUACAUAAGGCCGCUGUCCUCGCUGGGAGCUUUUCCAACUCCAUCUGGAGGACUCUUCAGACUGUUUAGAAUUUCAAGGAAGGGCUGAGCUAACCUAUACUAGGGCGGUCUCUAGAGGUAGGGAGGUUCUGGCAUGGGGAACAUGACUCUUCACCCCCACUGCCAACUGCAGCCCCACCAGGCUCAUGUGGGGACGGAAUAUUGCAUAACCCGCUUACAGACAAACCUCACAACAAGGACAAGCCCCUUUGCCAAAACAAAGUCCACUGGUGUCAGGCCUUCAGUGCCCACUCCAAAAGAGGUGGGAUCUUGGGGAUCCAGCAGCCCAGCCCAGCAGCACAGCAACUGGGACCCGGCAGGUACACAGCCAUCCUUCCGUUUCAGGGAGACAUACACCCUUCCCGUUUCAGGCAUGGCUACUGAAACAUGAAUAUGCAAAUGAUCAUUUAGGCCUUGGGGAUGGCAGCAACCAAACAGUUAAAUCUUAGGAGUCUCUGGGAAUGAAUUCAGAGAGGUCUUGCCUGGCCUGUAUAUGUUUCUGGGUUCAAUUCUCAGUAAUGAACAUGGACAAAUAUAAAGUGGGCUGGUGAGGUUGCUCAGUGGUUAGAUCGCUUGCUAUGGUGGACCUGGGGAUGUUCCUAGCACUGACGUUGUGGCAGCUCACAACCAUCCACAACUCCAGUUCCAGGGGAUUAUUUGAUGUCUUCUUAUGGCUUCCAUAGGCACCAUGCAUGUACGUGAUGCAAACAAGCACUCAUACAAUACAGUUAACAUAAAUAAAUCUUUAAUAUAUAGGUAUACACACAAGCAUAUGUAGACACACAGAUUCAUAUAUAUGAUAGUUCUGGAGCUGUGGUGAUAAUAUUUCUAUCCCUAACGUGCAUGCUGAACAACUAUGAGAAUGUGAGUUUGACUAAACCCACAUAAAAAGCCAGCCAAGCUAGUGUGCAUUUGUGAUCCUGGGAUGGGGAGGCAGAAACACAGAGCUUAGCCUAACUGGCAAGUUCCAGGCUGGUGAGAGACCACAUCUCUCUGAGGAGAAACAACUCUUUAGGUCAUUCUGUCUCACACACAGAUAUACACAUAUGUCUAACUGCACAUAAAUGUGCACCUAGGUACACAUGAACAUGUGUGCAUACACAGUGGGUGUGGGUGUACAGUGUAUACACACACACACACACACACACACACACACACACACACACACACACUCAGUUUUGUCCAGCAGCUAACUAGCAUAUUUUUAAAAAUACAUGUAUGGGGGGGGGCGGGGUAUAAGGGUAUGUCAUGGGUUGCUUAUGGAGGUCAGAGGACAACUUUCGGGAGUUAAAUCUCUCCUUCCAACAAGUGGGUUCCAGGGAGUUCAGUUCCUGGCAACUGACAACUCAGGCUUGGCAGCAAAAGCCUUUACCUGCUGAGCCAUCUCACCAGCUCCAGCUAAACCCCCCCCCCUCUCUUUAAAAUUUUCUUUUCUGUGCAUUGGCAUUUUGCCUGCAUGUAUGCCUGUGUGAAGGUGUUGGAAGCCCUGGAACUAGAAUUAUAGACAGCUAUGAGCUGCCAUGUGGGUGCUGGGAAUUGAACCUGGGUCCUCCCUAAAAGUAGCCAGUAUUCCUGAGCAUGGAGCUAUCUCCCCAGCCCCAAUAUAUUUUUUUAAAAGAAUUAUUUAUUUUAUGUAUGUGAGCACACUGUCUCGGUCUUCAGACACACCAGAAGAGGGCAUGGGAUCCCAUUAUAGAUGGUUGUGAGCCACCAUGUGGCUGCUGGGAACUGAACUCAGGACCUCUGGAAGAGCAGUCAGUGCUCUUAACCACUGAGCCAUCUCUCCAGCCCUGCUCAUCCUUUUUUGUUUGUUUGUUUUGUUUUGUUUUUGUUUUUAUUUGAGACAGGGUUUCUCUGUAUAGUCCUGGCUGUCCUGGAACUCACUUUGUAGACCAGGCUGGCCUUGAACUCAGAAAUCCAGCUGCCUCUGCCUCCCAAGUGCUGGGAUUAAAGGCGUGUGCCACCAGAUCUGGCUGUUUUUCCUUUUUCUUAAGACAGGUUGUUGCUAUAUAGGUGAAGCUGAACAGAAACUGUGAUCCUCCUGCCUCUGCCUCCUGCGCAGCUGCAACUACAGUUGUGUACCACCAUGUCUGCUUUCGAUUCUACAAAGGACAAAUCCCAUCGCACUAGGCCAGGGAUAUGAUUAGUCUCAGUGUCAAAUCAUUUAAAAUUGGAGAUUUAUUUAUUUAUAAGUUUUUAUGUAUAUGGGUGUUUUACCUACAUGUAUGUCUGUGCACCACACGUGCGCCUAGUACCACUGGAGGCCAGAAGAGGGGCAUCAGAUGCCCUGUAACUGAAGUUACAGAUGAUUGUGAGCCACCACAUGGGUGCAGGGAACCAAUCCCACGUCCUCCUUAAGAGCAGCAAGUGCUCUUAACCACCAAGCCAUGUAUCUAUUUCGUUUUUAUAAUGGAGAUACUAAUACCUUUCUUACAGGUGGAAGGAAGAGUUAGAGGAAAGGUAGAUGAUGUCAAAGACAGUGACUGGUAUUUAGUGAGGGCUCUGUAAAUUACAAGUAUCAUAAAUAUAGAUGAGGAAUCUCCUUUGCUCGAAUCCAAACUCCUGCUCCUGCCUUCUGAUACUAAUUUAGAGCAGGGGGCCAUGUCCUGAUCACGGCCACUGUUUUCUGCUCAGGAGGUGACUGCGUCACACUCUUUGACCUUUCUGCACAACUCUGUUCUUUGUUCCUCUGUAAACUGUGAAGUGACUCUCUCAUGGGAAAUGUCCCAAGAGAACACAGAGAAAGAAAGGUACAGUGAAUUUGACUCUAUCUGCAGAUCAAGAGCUCCCCAUCCAAUAAACACAGCUAGGUACAUAACCACCUGAAUUGCCCACUGUCAACAGAACACAGUGAGUCCUCCACAUGAGCCCAUGGGGGAGGGGCCCAAGCUUCUCUUGAAAAAUCUGUUAUUUCCACACAGAACAGCACACAACCCUCAAUAUCUCCACAGCACUGCUUUAGAAAGCUCUUGCUGGGGUGGUGGCACAUGCCUUUAAUCUCAGCACUCACAAGGCAGAGGCAGGUGGAGCUCUGCAAGGUUGAGGCUAGUCUGGUCUAAGCUCUGGGUUAGCUAGGGCUACAUAGAGAGGCCUGUCUCAGAAGAAGGUGGAGGAGGAAGGGGAAGAGGAAGGGGAAGAGGAAGGGGAAGAGGAAGAAAAGCAAGAGGAGGACUCCCUCAAGGUUCAACAAUUCUUGCAAAAGAUAAAAGUUUAUAGUCAUACAGAGCAGUGGUUCGCAACCUGUGGGUUGAGACCCCCCUUGGAGUCGAAUGACUCUUUCAGAGGGGUCGCCUAAGACCAUUGGGAAACACAGAUAUUUACAUUAUGAUUUAUAACAGUAGCAAAAUUACAGUUAUGAGGUAGCAAUGAAAAUAAUGUGUGGCUGGGGGGGAGGGGGUCACCACAGCACGAGGAACUGUAUUAAAGCUCACAGCAUCAGGGAGGCUGAGAGCCCCGGCUGUGGAGGAGGGUGAAUGCCAAUCACACAGAAAUAUAAACUACAGCAAAGGAGAAGGCACAGGGCCUGACCCAGAGGGAGCACGAGGGAAGCCUGGAGCGGAAGACGGCUAGGCUGCGGCCUGGAAGGAAUUUACACAGGGAAAGGCUGCGACAUGGCGAGACUGUGGGCAGAGGAGGAAGAAACGUGCUCGACCAUUUAGAAAAUGACACUGUAAGGUGUCUUCACAGUUCUGCCAAAGAAUUCAGGGGACUCAGGAACAAGUCAUAUAGAAAAUUAAGGGGGGAAAAAAGUGAGAGACAGAAAGUACUGAAAAUUACACAGCAAAGUACACAGUGAUAACGAGUGUUCACAGACCACCAAGUCUUACAGUAAGUGCAAGAUAAUAAUUUAAUUGGGACUUGUGAAGAAGGUAGGUAGGCUAGGAAGUUAAAAGGUUUUUAAAACUUGUAGAGAGAUAUCUGAGACACGGUGAACAGUGAAUUCUAAGUCAGCCUGGGCUACAGGCCCUGCUCAGAAUCAGACCCCCCCCCCCCCCCGCCCCAUAUUGAGACUGUAAGCCAGGCAUGGUGGUCCGUGCUGAAAUCUCAGUGCUCAGAAGGAAGCAGAGAAACUGCUGUGGCCUGGGCUACACAAUGAAUAAAUAAAAGAAGGAACAGAGAAAUGAAUUACUCAAAAAUGGGGACACAGCUAGGGAAACAAUGAGGGGAGCUGUCAGCAGGAGUUACUCUCUGGCACGGUAGGUAGCACACGACCUGGAGUCCACUGGUGAUCUUGGCAGGAACAAUCAGAGGACAGGAGAUACGAUUAGAUCAGGGCAGACAGAGGGGUUCGGUGCUGUGGCAGAUGCCUGCAAUCCUAGCACUCGGGAGGCAGAGGCAGGAUGUUCAUGACUUUGAGACAAGCUUGGUUUACAUAACAAAUUCAGGCCAGCCAGGAUUCCAUAGUGAGGCCCUGUCAGAAACAAAACAGUGACAAAUACAGAACAGCAGUGUCACUGGAGGGCAAGGAGGGCAGCAGGCAGUAGCUGGGGACUGCUGCUCAUUAGAAACUGUUACGUGACUUCAUAACUAAGCUUACUGUUUAUUAAACUAAAUCCACCGAAGCCAAAUGGUCAUGCGCACUGACCCAUGAUGCUAUAUAGCACCUUUAGCAGGUGGCACUGACCGGCUACUCAGGAGGUUUCUUUGUACCUCAUUUUCUAUUUGAUGCUUACUCUCCCCUCCUGCUUCUUUGAGAGAGAAUCUGGCCCUAGAGGCAGGACUGACCUCAAAUGUCCUUUACAGUCCAGGCUGGUUUUGAACACAUGACCCUCCAGUCUCAGCCUCCUAAAUGCUGGUGACACAUGCUAUCCCCAGGCUUCCGUAAACUCUUGAAUCCUUGACUGUCUGGUCUCAUUUCCUGUUACCUCUCUGUUUUUGUCCCAGAAUCUCAGUGAACUCCAGGUUAGCAAACAUGAGGGAUACUUUCAGCCACACCAGUGUUAUCUCUUCUGAAAUACCAGUCAUUUUCCUGCCUCAGGACCUUCACAAACAUUCCAGGAAUUUUUGCAUGGAAAGUAUUUGUUAAUGGGAAUAUUUAAAACAUCCCUCAAUAACUACAAUUCAGGCUUGAACUUCAACCAUUUAAACAUUUAAAAGAUUGUUAUCUUGUGUUUUCCCUGCAUGUAUGUCUGUGCACCAUGCACAUGGGUGGUAUUCACAGAGGCCAGAGGGAGCGUCAGAGUCUAUGGAAUUGGAGUAAUAGAUAUUUGUGAACCACCGCGUGGGUGCUGGAAGUUGGUCCUGGGUCCGAUGCGUGAGCAGCCAGUGCUUCUAACCACUGGGCCGUCUUUCUAGCCCCUCAAUCAUUUUUAAUAAAUUUAGAAUUUCAAAAACUGUAAGAGUGUAAGUUUUUGAGAGCCCUUGGGUUCAGAGACUCCAUUUCUACCAUUAUGGCCAGGCAGAACACACCUUUAAUUCCAGCACUUGGGAGGAAGAGGCACACUGUCUGUGUAAAUUCAAGACUAGCCUGAUUUACAUAUGAGUUUCAAACCACCUAUGGCUAAAUAGUGAGAC